rnacentral:rRNA from 1 species
GACGAACGCUGGCGGCGCGCUUAACACAUGCAAGUCGAACGGAAAGGCCUGCUUUCCCUUGUGGAUUGCGGGUACUCGAGUGGCGAACGGGUGAGUAACACGUGAGUGAUCUGCCCCCAACUUGGGUAUAAGCCUGGGAAACUGGGUCUAAUUCCCGAUAGGACUGCAGGGUGGUGCCUGUGGUGGAAAACGAUUUUCUAGUGGUUGGGGAUGAGCUCGCGGCCUAUCAGCUUGUUGGUGGGGUAAUGGCCUACCAAGGCGGCGACGGGUAGCCGGCCUGAGAGGGUGGACGGCCACAUUGGGACUGAGAUACGGCCCAGACUCCUACGGGAGGCAGCAGUGGGGAAUAGAGCACAAUGGGCGGAAGCCUGAUGCAGCGACGCCGCGUGGGGGAUGACGGCCUUCGGGUUGUAAACUCCUUUCGACCGCGAGGAAGCCACCUGGUUGGAAGGGUGGUGACGGUAGUGGUAGAAGAAGCACCGGCUAACUACGUG